UGGGAAUGGCUGCAGACACCACAGGGUUAGAAUUUCCAGGUCUUUUCAUUAGAAAAAUGGCAUGAAAUCAAUGAUAAAACAAGGAAAAAAAGAAAAAAAGAGUCUUCUCAGGGAAGCACAUGGACAAACAGGAAAUGCAUGGAAAGGAACUGAUGAAGUAGUGAAGCACUAAGAAAUGUAUAGAUGUGGCACUUAGCAGCAUAGCUUAGUGGCAUGGUAGUGAUGGUUUGACAGUUGGACUACAUGAUCUUAGAGGUCUUUUGCAACCUUAAUGAUUCUAUGAUUCUAAGAAAAGAAUCUGGCACAGUGUGAGACAGGAGGGUAACACAGAAUAACUCUAACACUUUCAGACCAGAGCAAGUUGAAAUCCAUGUGUCCACUGCUUCCAGCUGUGCGCCAGUCUUUGUGCUGAUGAACCACAGAAGGCCUCCCUCAGCAGUAUCUUCAAGGCCAAAACAUAGCAUCAUACCAGCCACUAUGAAGGAGAAAACAACUCUGUCCCAGCUGAAACCAG
rnacentral:lncRNA from 1 species